GUUGGCCUCGGAUCAGGUGGGGAUACCCGCUGAACUUAAGCAUAUCAAUAAGCGGAGGAAAAGAAACCAACAGGGAUUGCCUCAGUAACGGCGAGUGAAGCGGCAACAGCUCAAAUUUGAAAUCUGGCUCACGCCCGAGUUGUAAUUUGUAGAGGAUGUUUCGGGUGAAGCCACGGUCCAAGUCCCUUGGAACAGGACGUCAUAGAGGGUGAGAACCCCGUACCUGGCCGUCGGUGCCCCCCGCUGUGAAACUCCUUCGACGAGUCGAGUUGUUUGGGAAUGCAGCUCUAAAUUGGUGGUAAAUUCCAUCUAAAGCUAAAUACCGGCCAGAGACCGAUAGCGCACAAGUAGAGUGAUCGAAAGAUGAAAAGCACUUUGAAAAGAGAGUUAAAAAGUACGUGAAAUUGUUGAAAGGGAAGCGCUUGCGGCCAGACUUGCCCGCGGUUGCUCAGCCCGCCUUUUGGCGGGUGCACUCUUCCGCGGUCAGGCCAGCAUCGGUUUGGGCGGCCGGAUAAAGACGCCGGGAACGUGGCCUCCCCUCGGGGAGGUGUUAUAGCCCGGCGUGCAAUGCGACCAGCCCGGACCGAGGUUCGCGCUCUGCUAGGAUGCUGGCGUAAUGGCCGUAAGCGGCCCGUCUUGAAACACGGACCAAGGAGUCUAACAUCUAUGCGAGUGUUUGGGUGUCAAACCCGUGCGCGUAAUGAAAGUGAACGGAGGUGGGAACCCGCAAGGGCGCACCAUCGACCGAUCCUGAUGUCUUCGGAAGGAUUUGAGUAAGAGCAUAGCUGUUGGGACCCGAAAGAUGGUGAACUAUGCGUGAAUAGGGUGAAGCCAGAGGAAACUCUGGUGGAGGCUCGCAGCGGUUCUGACGUGCAAAUCGAUCGUCAAAUUUGCGUAUAGGGGCGAAAGACUAAUCGAACCAUUUAGUAGCUGG
rnacentral:rRNA from 1 species